GAUGAACGCUGGCGGCGUGCCUAAUACAUGCAAGUCGAGCGAACAGACGAGGAGCUUGCUCCUCUGACGUUAGCGGCGGACGGGUGAGUAACACGUGGAUAACCUACCUAUAAGACUGGGAUAACUUCGGGAAACCGGAGCUAAUACCGGAUAAUAUAUUGAACCGCAUGGUUCAAUAGUGAAAGACGGUUUUGCUGUCACUUAUAGAUGGAUCCGCGCCGCAUUAGCUAGUUGGUAAGGUAACGGCUUACCAAGGCAACGAUGCGUGGCCGACCUGAGAGGGUGAUCGGCCACACUGGAGCUGAGACACGGUCCAGACUCCUACGGGAGGCAGCAGUAGGGAAUCUUCCGCAAUGGGCGAAAGCUUGACGGAGCAACGCCGCGUGAGUGACGAAGGUCUUCGGAUCGUAAAACUCUGUUAUUAGGGAAGAACAAAUGUGUAAGUAACUAUGCACGUCUUGACGGUACCUAAUCAGAAAGCCACGGCUAACUACGUG
rnacentral:rRNA from 1 species